rnacentral:sRNA from 1 species
CCGCCUGCUGCGGGCAGAUCCAGUGGAUGUGGGUAUCGACGCGCCGGCGGUGACUAUCUUACCUUCGGCGGCAAUAACCUCCCGUCGCCGCGCCAAUGGGGAUAGUGACGUCAGGCUGGAUAUCGGGAUUACCCGCUUUGCCGAUUGCGACAAUACGCCCCUCUUUGACACCAAUGUCGGCUUUGACGAUCCCCCAGUGAUCGACGAUCAGCGCAUUGGUCAGCACCAGAUCGACACAGUCGUCAGCGAGCAUUUGUCCCUGGCCCAUACCGUCACGG